rnacentral:rRNA from 1 species
CCUACGGGUGGCAGCAGUGGGGAAUAUUGGGCAAUGGGCGCAAGCCUGACCCAGCAACGCCGCGUGAAGGAAGAAGGCCCUCGGGUUGUAAACUUCUUUUAUCAGGGACGAAACAAAUGACGGUACCUGAUGAAUAAGCCACGGCUAACUACGUGCCAGCAGCCGCGGUAAUACGUAGGUGGCAAGCGUUAUCCGGAUUUACUGGGUGUAAAGGGCGUGUAGGCGGGAGGGCAAGUCAGACGUGAAAUUCCAGGGCUCAACCCUGGAACUGCGUUUGAAACUGUUCUUCUUGAGUGAUGGAGAGGCAGGCGGAAUUCCGUGUGUAGCGGUGAAAUGCGUAGAGAUACGGAGGAACACCAGUGGCGAAGGCGGCCUGCUGGACAUUAACUGACGCUGAGGCGCGAAAGCGUGGGGAGCAAACAGGAUUAGAUACCAGAGUAGUC